GAAGAUUAAAAUAAGAUGAAGAAUAAAAAUGACAGUGCAGUGCAAGAUAUGAAUAAGUAUUCACAAAAUUGAUAUAUAUUAAUAUUGAGACCUGAUUUAGAAGAAAUGAGAGUUGGAGCAGACUUCAUGUUUUCUGGAAGUUUGUUCCAGAUAUGCGGUGCAAAAAAACUGCAUGCUGCUUCUCCAUGUUUAGUUUAGUUUUGGCCCUAAACCAUUCAGUGCUUUAUAAACCAACUGUAGUAUUUUAAUGUCAAUUCUUUGACAAACCAAUGUAAAGAUCUGCGAACCGGAGUGAUGUGAUCCACUUUCCUGGUCUUAGUGAGGACUCUAGCAGCUGCGUCCUGAAUCAGCUGCAGCUGUCUUAUUGACUUUUUAGAGACCUGUAAAGACAGCGUUACAGUAGUCGAACCUACUGAAGAUAAACAGACAAGUUUUUAUAUAUCCUGCUGAGACUGAAGCUGCCGUGGCUCCCUGCUGAUGUCUUCACACUCUAGCAGAGCAUUCUCUGGAUCGCUAGACAACGUCAUGGCCCACUAUUCGCAGUUAGCCUCAGUAUAGUACAUACAGGACAGCAACACUCUGUAGGUAUUCCAGCCAUUACUGUGGACUGCAUACAUGUACCUUCUGAUGACCAUCGGUCUGUCUUUUGACUAGCCUGCCUUACCCAUCUGAUCUGCUUGCCUGGUCUGCCAGCCAAGUCAUUGCCAACUACACUGACCAUGUAAAGACCACAUCUAUUCUACCUCAUAAGUCUGCUUUUGGGUACCAGAUCGGUGUGACCAACUGUUAUGGAUUAUAAAGAUGACAGAGAGAGAGAACAGAGUAUUAUUAUAUUCAAAAGGUUUAGUCCAACUGAAAUUAACUUGCAUGUUUUUCUGCUACAGCAUACAGAUCUGCCUAGAUCCUGUCCUUUUUUUUGUUUUGUUUUGGUUUCAUGGUGGUGCAUGGUGCAUAGCAGUCAGAAUGCUAUUGUUUUUCUUUCAUAGAAAGACAACUUCUUUGCAUAAAGCCAUUCAAAUCAUUUAAUUUUAAAGUGCAGUGACACUGACAGUCAUUAACAUAACACACAGCAGACUUUAAACCACAAUGCUAGUCUCCUUUGCAUCUAUAAGCAUGGACAUGUUUUGUUUAAAUUAGCUGCUAACCAAACAUCCACCAGGGAUUUGACAGGCUAGAUAAAUGAGCCAGCUAAUUGGCUAACCAGCUGUAGCACAUUAAACAGCAUAAAAAGUGUACUGGCAAAUUUCAACAUCGGUCAGUUUAUAUGCUAAAUGGAGUAGCCGUUACUCCUCAGUGCCACUCAUGGAUGUAUUAUAAAAACUAGAUACAGGACUUAUUCCACUUGAGUGAAAAUUGCUUGCUGAGUGCAUAAGCCAGAAAUUUUUUCUAGCUUCCAGGUUUACUUCCACAUUGUAAGCUACAGCUACCAGCUCAAUUUGUUGUCUCAACUGUCAGUCAAACACAUAAAAUGGCCCACUCAGAGGCUUGAAGGCGAAAGGAUCAUUUCUGAUGUAUCUCCACAGACCAUUUUUUCCUAAUUUCAAAGAUAAAUUAAUAUUAACAAUAAAUUAGAAAAUCUCUUUGAUGUGAUCUUUGACUACAAGAAGGUAUGAUGUUUGCCAUUUUAGUUUAUCAAAGUAUCAAUUCUCCCCACUUAAAAAUAUUCUUCACAGAGACAUUGUGCAAGUUUGCUUGCAAACAGUUUACUUGUUGAAUAUGAUGUGUAUCUGAAGGAUUUUAUUGGUUGAACCUUUCUUUUCUCAAAUCUGCUGCACAUAAGAAGAUAGUGAAUUUUCUUUCUUCUGCCAAAUGGGAGUUGCACUACACUGUUAUACAAGUUUCCAUUACACACUGUGAUGUCCAUGUUUUUUUAGCGUGAAUAAUUCAACAGUGGACAGGUUAUGAAAGGUGGAUACACAGCAAGUGCUUUGUAAAAGAAUACACUGAGAUAAGUGUGUCCACGUGUCCCAGAAAAGGACAGCUAGAAACAUGUCUUAAAGCUAUUCUCAUUAGCUUUAACAUUUCCUCCUCACUGACAGGUGUGUGUGUGUGUGUGAGAGAGAGAGAGAGAGAGAGAGAGAGAGCUCCCUUUUCCCUCACUGGCAGCUAUUGAUUGAGUCUGUGGAGUUGAGGAACAAGAUAUCAAACAGCAACCAAUCUCAGUUUGGAUUAUGUCAUAUCUCUCUCUCUAGCUUUUCCCUCCACUACACCUCUAUUCUGGAUUCCCUUCACUCAAGUGGACAGAUCCUCAAGGUGGAAAGAAACUCACCUCACAUCCCUACAUAUCGAACUCCCCAGUGAAUCUCUACAAAUCAUUUUUAGAGUUUGCCAAUUAUACAGAGGGGCUCUAAACUUGGAGGACUUCAAGGACUUUUUAAAAAAUCUAUGGUAAAUUUAACUUUGGUAAAAUGUUGACAGCUCUAGUGAACAUUCCUUUUGUAACAUGUCAUACCAACAUCAGAACUGGCUGCUCUGUGCUCUUGUAGUCAGCACAACUUGUUCUAUAUUUGAAAGCAGGUAGUGUCAUUCACUCUGUGUCCAUGACUCGACUCUUCAGUAAAUAAACUUACCCUUUUGUUUUUUUUCUGUUUUCAUUGCUCUGGUUUAAAUACAGGCCUGCAGUGGUUAUGGCUGUGCAGCUUUUGUUUUGCCAGCCACUGAAGCCCUGCAACCAGAGCCACAGUGUUUUGUUUAUUUGUGACAUCUUUGAGGUCUUUGCAUUAUAUUUGUCGUCCCCUUUAUUUCAUUUGCAUGUAAAGGAAUGGCCCUAUCAUCCUAGGCUGACUGAACUUUAUUUGAACUUGCAUGCAGCCAUAUGAUAGACAAGGCACUGCCACCACAGAUCAAUUUGCAUGUAAAGAUGUGACUGGACAAGCAACUGUAAUUUGGUGUAAGCAUUCUUUUGGACAAGCAACAGUUUACAACAACCUGGCAGUCUGCAGUGCCAUGCACUAAACAGCAUAAAUCCAGUUCUGUUUCUCUACAUGCAUUUACCAGCAUGUUUACAGUGCUACACAAAUACUAUGUAUUCAUCCAUAUAUUAACAAGACUAAAAGUCUAUAGUCACGGUAGCAGCUCUGUAAGACUGUACUUAUAGGUAUAGUGACGCUUUGAGGUAAAUGCUAAUGCUGCAGGGAUGUGCACAGACAUUUUGGGGGGGCAGGGGCAUAAACAAAAAAGGGCACUCACGCAGCCACAAAUUCUCUAUUCCCACCCUGAUUUUGCCACACCACCAUUCAAAAUUACCCUCUUCAUAACGUGCCAUGUUUAAACACUUCAUUCCUUGAAGCAACCGCAAAUUUGACACAUUUACAUGAAAUUAAUUCAUUGUUCAGUUGUUUAGAGCAGUUCAGUCACAUUAGAUCAAUGGUUUCUUCCAGAAAGGAAAAUUAAGAAGGAUGCAAUUUAUUGGCAUCCAAACAGAUUUCCAGUAUGUACAAGAGCCUGACUGAUUUAUCUCUUUAGGCCAGGUUUCUUAAGCCUUUCCUUUCUGUGCAUUGCACUACAAUCAGCAGAUGAUCAAAAUGAAUAACUGACAUGUAUCAUUAGGUCUCUCAAAUGCAAAUGAAAAGCCUAGACCUGGGACAAAAUACCAACAACGAGAUUAUAUUAUCCACAUUAUUCAGUUCCAUCUGUGUAUAUUUAUACUGCACAAAUAUGUGGUCAGUAUGUUCCUUUCUGGGUUGAAUUCACUAUUCUGGAGAUGGUGAAAGUCGGGUCACCAUAUUUUCCGUGCAUAAUGAUGCUGAUGUCAUAUUUUGGAGGACAAUCACUCAUACAAUAACAGUGAAGUUGCAGCAAACUUUGCAGCAUAGUAAAUAUUGUUUCCAUCAUGUUGUUGGUUGCCUGUAAUUAUUAAACAAUUUUCAUUCAAUUAAAUUACCGAAUUAAUUAAAUUGUCAAUUAAAUUGCAUUCAGUCAGUGAAAACUAUACAUUUAAAUGCUUGCAAUGAAGGAACAAUUUAAAAAUACGCUUUGUAUUGUACACUUUACAAUACGUUACACAAAAUAAUGAGUAGUUACUAAGGAACGAGUGAGGAAUGAAUCAGGAACCAACUGAUAAUUCAUUAAUUAUUAAUAAGUAGUUAGCGAAUAACUAUGGCGGAAUGAACGGAGGACUAUAAUAGAUAAUGAUGAUUUAUUUGAGAACUGACAUGUACACCAAAUAUGAUAUAUAUAGACUAUUAACCACGUAAUGCAUAUUUAAUUGUUUUAGUUGUCUGACAAAGGAACUAACUAACCUACUAUAUUACGGCAGAAUCGUGGUGUUCUUUAAGACAAGGGUUGGCUAAAUCAUCAUACAAAAUGAUAUCUUGUUAAUGUUGUUGCAGUGAGACACAACGUUCAUUUUAUUUCAGAUGAAACGGACAGAUGAAGUGAAGUGCAGGCUGCAGAGACUAGUGUACCCCUGCGACCACCACCAGCCCUCGUCCCAUGUCUCCUGCUGCUGAAGCACACAAAUGCUGUAUUUUGCACAUUUAUAUUUCUGCAUGUUAAUAAAUAGUUGUGGAACUUA